AACGAACGCUGGCGGCGCGCCUAACACAUGCAAGUCGAACGAGAAUCCGGGGCAACCCGGUAGUAAAGUGGCAAACGGGUGAGGAAUACAUGGGUAACCUACCCUUGAGAAGGGAAUAACCCGCCGAAAGGUGAGCUAAUACCCUAUACGCUAUCUUUUUUUUCGAAAAGGAUAGGAAAGCCGGGUCGAGGACCUGGUACUCAAGGAGGGGCUCAUGUCCUAUCAGCUUGUUGGUGGGGUAACGGCCUACCAAGGCUACGACGGGUAGCUGGUCUGAGAGGAUGAUCAGCCACACUGGCACUGAGAUACGGGCCAGACUCCUACGGGAGGCAGGCAGUGAGGAAUAUUGCGCAAUGGGCAAAGCCUGACGCAGCGACGCCGCGUGGGGGAUGAAGGUUUUCGGAUUGUAAACCCCUUUCGGGAGGGAAGAUGGAGCGAGCAAUCGUUCGGACGGUACCUCCAGAAGCAGCCACGGCCAACUUCGUG
rnacentral:rRNA from 1 species